rnacentral:lncRNA from 1 species
CGAACCAGACAGCCGCCGCCUUCUCCUCCACCCCAAUGAAGUUAAGCGCUCGGUGCGGAGAUUAAAAAAAAAAAAAAAAAAAAAAAAGCAGCCGCGAGCGCCUGCGCACUGCGGAGACCCCUUACGGCCAACGAGCCGGCUGUACCAUAGAGAGUGUAAACCGGGACCAGAGAGGCGGCUCCCUCUCUAUGGUAAGGCCCCGCGCAGGCGCCGGCCGGGCCGACCUGCGCUUCGGGAGAUACAAAUCCCGGGAGCUUUCACCUCCUGGCAAACGUCAGAUGACCCUGAUGGGGACCCGUAGGAAGUCCCGGGACAUCGUUCAAAGCAACGAUCUCCGCUUGGCAGAUGAGGAGAUUGAGGGCCAGAAAGGAAAAUGAUGUGCCAGCCAUGGCUGAUUGGUACCAAGGCUGCAGCUGAAACCUGAACCUCCAGAAUUCCCACUCUGUGCUUUGGGCUCCCUUACGAAGAUAGACGCCACAGUCUGAGAAUGGCCAGAAUGUUUUCCGUGGUGAAGGUGCCAUUUUACAUUCCCACCAGCAGAGUAUAACGGUUCCAGUUUCUUCCACGUCCUCACCAGCACUUGUUAUUAUUUGUCUUAUUUAUUAUACCUAUUCUGUUAGGUGUGUAGUGGUAUUUCACUGUGGUUUUGAUUUGCAUUUCCCUAAUGACUAAUGAUGUCAAGCAUCUUUUCACGUGCUUAUUGGCCAUCCUGUAUAUCUCAUCAAAGAAAUGUCUAUUCAGAGCCUUUGCUCAUUUUGUAAUUGUGUUGUCUUUUUUAUUAUUCAUUUAUAAAAGCUCUUUAUAUAUUCUGGAUUUAAGUCUCUUAUCAGAUAUAUGAUUUGAAAAUAUUUUCUCCUAUUCAAUGGGUUGUCUUUUCACUCUCUUGUUGAUGCCCGUCAAAGCACAAAAGUUUUUAAUUUUAUUGUCCAAUUUAUCUAUUUAUUCUUUUGUCACUGUGUUUCCGGUAUCUUUCUAAGAAACUGUUAUGUAAUCCAAUGUUUUCUUCUUAGAGUCUUAGACUUUUGGCUCUUAUAUUUAGGUCUUUGAUCCAUUCUGAGUCAAUUUUUGUACAUGGUAUGAGGCAAGGGUCCAAACUCAUUCUUUUGCAUGUAGCUAUCCAAUUGUCCCACCACUAUUUUUUGGAAAGCCUAUUCUUUCUCCAUUAAAUUGUCUUGGCAUCCUUGUGUAAAACCAAUUGACUAUAAGUGUUUGGGUUUAUUUCUUGACUCCAAAUUCUAUUCCACUGAUAUAUAUCUGCAUUCUUACACCAGUGCCAUACCGUUUUGACUACUAUAGAUUUGUAGUAAGGUUUGAAAUCAGAAAAUAUGAGUCCAUCAACUUUGUUUUCCUUUUCUGAUUGUUUUGGCUAUUUGGGGUUCCUUGAAUUUCCAUAUGAAUUUUCCAAUCAGUUUGUCCAUUUCUGCAGAAAAGGUAAUUGUGAUUUUAAUGGGAAUUGCAUUGAAUCUGUAGAUCAGUUUGGAGCGUGUUGUCAGUUUAGUAGGGAAAACAGAAAUUACUAGACUAUACAGUUAUUACAAUGAUGGACUAUCAAAAGGGACACUUAGUAGGUGUGGGUGGGCCAAAGAAAACUAAGAUGGAAUGAAGGGAGUGUUCUUGAGCCAAACCAAAUAAACAAAACAUUGAAACUCACCAUCAUGACAAACCCACUCUCAGAAGUAGAAUAUUGAUUUAGACUAGUUCUCAUUUGGGCAGGGUUUAUUUAUUCUAAUAAUUUCGAGCAAUCCUAAGUCUUUCCAUUUUAACAAGGUCAUUUAGAGUUUUACAGAUAUUUCCAAAAGUAGGAGUAGUUUGACAUGUGGGCCAUCAUAUACAUACACACACACACUUCACGGUCAUCCGGCAAAGUGAGAAGAGUUCAUCAUCUAGAUCAGAAUGUGGAAGUGAAACUUCCCCACUGCGUCUGCUUUAGUAACAGCAGCACAUUCCUGCCUGUUUGUUCCCUUAUAUUAAGGAUGAAAUCAUUCCAACCAUCGACUGUAAAUCUCGGGGUGCUGCCUGCCUGUCGUACGUGGGAACCUUUGACGACGACUCCAGAAUUGCGCAAUUGUGUUUCUUCUGUUUUUGUUUUGCCACAUUAACUGUAUCACACAGUGCUUGAAAUAGAGGUGGAAUCUGUUACUCUGCCAGCUUACCGUUUAACAAGUCAAAUGAUGCAUUAAGAAAUCAGCAAAUUUUUAAACUUUGAGAUGUGUAUUUGCCAUAUUUCCUGCCUAGUCUUAUUUAUUUAGAGCUUUCUAUGCCUGGAUGAAAUUCUCUUGCCUUCUACUGUUUGCAAUAACUCAAGACCUUUUUCUUCUUUUCAGAUAAUCUACUUAUAUUUAUGCCAUAUUUUCUAGUUUUUC